GAUGGACGCUGGCGGCGUGCCUAAUACAUGCGAGUCGAGCGAACAGAUAAGGAGCUUGCUCCUUUGACGUUAGCGGCGGACGGGUGAGUAACACGUGGGUAACCUACCUAUAAGACUGGAAUAACUCCGGGAAACCGGGGCUAAUGCCGGAUAACAUUUAGAACCGCAUGGUUCUAAAGUGAAAGAUGGUUUUGCUAUCACUUAUAGAUGGACCCGCGCCGUAUUAGCUAGUUGGUAAGGUAACGGCUUACCAAGGCAACGAUACGUAGCCGACCUGAGAGGGUGAUCGGCCACACUGGAACUGAGACACGGUCCAGACUCCUACGGGAGGCAGCAGUAGGGAAUCUUCCGCAAUGGGCGAAAGCCUGACGGAGCAACGCCGCGUGAGUGAUGAAGGUCUUCGGAUCGUAAAACUCUGUUAUUAGGGAAGAACAAAUGUGUAAGUAACUGUGCACGUCUUGACGGUACCUAAUCAGAAAGCCACGGCUAACUACGUG
rnacentral:rRNA from 1 species